rnacentral:RNase_P_RNA from 1 species
GAAGCAAGCCAGACAGCCGCCGGUUUCCGGUUUCAGCCGGGAGCGGGAGGAAGGUCCGGACACCACAGGACAGGGUGACGGUUAACGGCCGUCCGUCGAAAGCCGAAGGGUAUAAGACGAGGAACAGGGCCACAGAGACGAGCGUAUUAAGUUACGGUGAAACGCGGCAACCUCCACCUGGUGCAAUUCCAAAUAGGCACGCAUUGAUGUGGUCCGCGGAGCGUGCGGGUAGGAAGCUUGAGCGCUGGAGCAAUCCGGUGCCUAGAUGAAUGGCUGUCAUAGUGCAUGUGCACCGUAACAGAAUCCGGCCUAUCGGCUUGCUUUUUCU